GCUCAGUUUGGAAAAAGUUGAUCCUGGCUCAGAUUGAACGCUGGCGGCAGGCCUAACACAUGCAAGUCGAACGGCAGCACAGAAGAGCUUGCUCUUUGGGUGGCGAGUGGCGGACGGGUGAGUAAUGUCUGGGAAACUGCCCGAUGGAGGGGGAUAACUACUGGAAACGGUAGCUAAUACCGCAUAACGUCGCAAGACCAAAGUGGGGGACCUUCGGGCCUCACACCAUCGGAUGUGCCCAGAUGGGAUUAGCUAGUAGGUGGGGUAAUGGCUCACCUAGGCGACGAUCCCUAGCUGGUCUGAGAGGAUGACCAGCCACACUGGAACUGAGACACGGUCCAGACUCCUACGGGAGGCAGCAGUGGGGAAUAUUGCACAAUGGGCGCAAGCCUGAUGCAGCCAUGCCGCGUGUAUGAAGAAGGCCUUCGGGUUGUAAAGUACUUUCAGCGGGGAGGAAGGCAGUGAGGUUAAUAACCUCGCCGAUUGACGUUACCCGCAGAAGAACCAGCGGGCUAAACAU
rnacentral:rRNA from 1 species